AGAGUUUGAUCAUGGCUCAGAAUCAACGCUGGCGGCGUGCCUCAGACAUGCAAGUCGAACGCGAAAGGCCCCUUCGGGGGCCGAGUAGAGUGGCGUCCGGGUGAGUAACACGUGAGUAAUUUGCCUUCGGGUGGGGAAUAACAACCGGAAACGGUUGCUAAUACCGCAUAAUGCAGCGGCACCACAUGGUGACAGUUGUUAAAGCGGGGGAUUCGCAAGAACCUCGUGCCUGAAGAGAAGCUCGCGGCGGAUUAGCUAGUUGGUAGGGUAACGGCCUACCAAGGCGACGAUCCGUAGCCGGCCUGAGAGGGCGGUCGGCCACACUGACACUGACACACGGGUCAGACUCCUACGGGAGGCAGCAGUCGGGAAUUUUGGGCAAUGGGCGAAAGCCUGACCCAGCAACGCCGCGUGAAGGAUGAAGUUUUUCGGAAUGUAAACUUCACAAGAAUGGGAAGAAUAAGUGGGGGAUAAUACCCCCCAUGAUGACGGUACCAUUUGUAAGCUCCGGCUAACUCCGUGCCAGCAGCCGCGGUGAUACGGGGGGAGCAAGCGUUGUUCGGAUUUACUGGGCGUAAAGGGCGCGUAGGCGGCGCAGCAAGUCACUUGUGAAAUCUCCGGGCUUAACUCGGAGCGGCCAAGUGAUACUGUCGUGCUAGAGUGCGGAAGGGGCAACUGGAAUUCUCGGUGUAGCGGUGAAAUGCGUAGAUAUCGAGAGGAACACCUGCGGCGAAGGCGGGUUGCUGGGCCGACACUGACGCUGAGGCGCGAAAGCCAGGGGAGCGAACGGGAUUAGAUACCCCGGUAGUCCUGGCCUUAAACGAUGGAUGCUUGGUGUCCGGGGUUACAUAGUCCCCGGGUGCCGUCGCUAACGCCUUAAGCAUCCCGCCUGGGGAGUACGCACGCAAGUGUGAAACUCAAAGGAAUUGACGG
rnacentral:rRNA from 1 species